ensembl:lncRNA
GUCUGACUGUUUGCAAUCCCGUGGACUGUAGCCUGCCAAGCUCCUCUGUCCACGGAAUUCUCCAGGCAAGAAUACUAGAGUGUGUAGCCAUGUCCUUCUCAAGGGGAUCCUCUUGACCUAGGGGACAAACCUGGAUCUUCUGCAUUGCAGUGUGGGUGACUUGAAGAUCAAAGAGAUGAAAUAAUCUGUCCAAGUUCACAAAGCUGGAGGAGGCUUACAGGACAGAUGACAAAAAAGGAGAAGUACACUGCCUGACUGUAACUCCAUCUGAGACAGCAUCAGGAGGAAAGAGGGAUACUGAGGCAGAAUGUGACAUAUCCUGGAAUAUGUUCCCUUUGGAUUUAAAGUGUAUUUCUGGUUGUCCCAUAGAUGCCAUUGAAUGAUCAGUCAUUGUUCAUCAAAUAUUCAUCUUGCAGGUAGUCUCCCACAGCCAGAAGAAGAAAAAGAAAAAAAAAAAAAGAAAGAAAAACCUUAGAGUACAUGCAUAUGAACUUUUAAUUUACAAAAUAAAUCAAAUGUGAUCAGAGUAAUUUAAAGCAUGAAACCUUUGCUAGAGAAGUCC